rnacentral:rRNA from 1 species
UACGGAGGGUGCAAGCGUUAUCCGGAUUCACUGGGUUUAAAGGGCGCGCAGGCGGGAUUGUAAGUCAGUGGUGAAAUCUUGGGGCUUAACCCCAAAAUUGCCAUUGAUACUAUGGUUCUUGAAUGCUGUGGAGGUUUGCGGAAUGGGUCAUGUAGCGGUGAAAUGCAUAGAUAUGACCCGGAACACCAAUUGCGAAGGCAGCAGGCUACACAUGCAUUGACGCUGAGGCUCGAAAGCGUGGGGAUCAAACAGG